UCAGUUUCGGCUGAGAGAGUAAAGUGGCGAACGGGUGAGUAACGCGUGGGUAAUCUACCCUCGAGACGGGGAUAACUGUCUGAAAGGACAGCUAAUACCCGAUAACAUCGUCAGAUCUUCGGAUUCGACGAUCAAAGGUGACCGCUACAUGUAAGUUGCCACUUGUGGAUGAGCCCGCGUACCAUUAGCUUGUUGGUGAGGUAAAAGCUCACCAAGGCCAUGAUGGUUAGCUGGUCUGAGAGGAUGAUCAGCCACACUGGAACUGGAACACGGUCCAGACUCCUACGGGAGGCAGCAGUGAGGAAUAUUGCGCAAUGGGGGAAACCCUGACGCAGCAACGCCGCGUGAGUGAGGAAGGCCUUCGGGUUGUAAAGCUCUGUCAAGUGGGAAGAAGGGUUCGAUGUUAAUAGCGCCGAACUUUGACGGUACCACGAGAGGAAGCACCGGCUAACUCCGUGCCAGCAGCCGCGGUAAUACGGAGGGUGCGAGCGUUGUUCGGAAUUAUUGGGCGUAAAGAGCGUGUAGGCGGUUAGCUAAGUCAGAUGUGAAAGCCCUGGGCUCAACCCAGGAAGUGCAUUUGAAACUGGCUGACUUGAGUACGGGAGAGGAGAGUGGAAUUCCUGGUGUAGAGGUGAAAUUCGUAGAUAUCAGGAGGAACAUCGGUGGCGAAGGCGACUCUCUGGACCGAUACUGACGCUGAGACGCGAAAG
rnacentral:rRNA from 1 species